rnacentral:tRNA from 1 species
GGGGAUUUGGCUCAGUGGUAGAGCGCUUGCCUAGCAAGCACAAGGCUCUGGGUUCGGUCCCCAGCUCCA